UUCGGGUUGUAAAGUACUUUCAGCAGUGAGGAAGUGGAUAUGUUAAUAGCAUAUUCAUUUGACGUUAGCUGCAGAAGAAGCACCGGCUAACUCCGUGCCAGCAGCCGCGGUAAUACGGAGGGUGCGAGCGUUAAUCGGAAUUACUGGGCGUAAAGCGCAUGCAGGUGGUUUGUUAAGUCAGAUGUGAAAGCCCGGGGCUCAACCUCGGAAUUGCAUUUGAAACUGGCAAACUAGAGUACUGUAGAGGGGGUAGAAUUUCAGGUGUAGCGGUGAAAUGCGUAGAGAUCUGAAGGAAUACCGGUGGCGAAGGCGGCCCCCUGGACAGAUACUGACACUCAGAUGCGAAAGCGUGGGGAGCAAACAGGAUUAGAUCCCCUGAUAG
rnacentral:rRNA from 1 species